rnacentral:rRNA from 1 species
GUGAAAGCCUUGGGCUCAACCUAAGAAUUGCUUUUGAAACUACCAAGCUUGAGUACUGUAGGGGAUAGCGGAAUUCCUAGUGUAGGGGUGAAAUUCGUAGAUAUUAGGAGGAACACCGGAGGCGAAAGCGGUUAUCUGGACAGUUACUGACGCUGUUGCGCGAAAGCGCGUCGGUAGCUAACAGGAUUAGAUACCCUGGUAGUCCACGCAGUAAACGAUGAGUGC